GGGGCGUGCUAUACAUGCAAGUCGAACGAACUCUGGUAUUGAUUGGUGCUUGCAUCAUGAUUUACAUUUGAGUGAGUGGCGAACUGGUGAGUAACACGUGGGAAACCUGCCCAGAAGCGGGGGAUAACACCUGGAAACAGAUGCUAAUACCGCAUAACAACUUGGACCGCAUGGUCCGAGUUUGAAAGAUGGCUUCGGCUAUCACUUUUGGAUGGUCCCGCGGCGUAUUAGCUAGAUGGUGGGGUAACGGCUCACCAUGGCAAUGAUACGUAGCCGACCUGAGAGGGUAAUCGGCCACAUUGGGACUGAGACACGGCCCAAACUCCUACGGGAGGCAGCAGUAGGGAAUCUUCCACAAUGGACGAAAGUCUGAUGGAGCAACGCCGCGUGAGUGAAGAAGGGUUUCGGCUCGUAAAACUCUGUUGUUAAAGAAGAACAUAUCUGAGAGUAACUGUUCAGGUAUUGACGGUAUUUAACCAGAAAGCCACGGCUAACUACGUGCCAGCAGCCGCGGUAAUACGUAGGUGGCAAGCGUUGUCCGGAUUUAUUGGGCGUAAAGCGAGCGCAGGCGGUUUUUUAAGUCUGAUGUGAAAGCCUUCGGCUCAACCGAAGAAGUGCAUCGGAAACUGGGAAACUUGAGUGCAGAAGAGGACAGUGGAACUCCAUGUGUAGCGGUGAAAUGCGUAGAUAUAUGGAAGAACACCAGUGGCGAAGGCGGCUGUCUGGUCUGUAACUGACGCUGAGGCUCGAAAGUAUGGGUAGCAAACAGGAUUAGAUACCCUGGUAGUCCAUACCGUAAACGAUGAAUGCUAAGUGUUGGAGGGUUUCCGCCCUUCAGUGCUGCAGCUAACGCAUUAAGCAUUCCGCCUGGGGAGUACGGCCGCAAGGCUGAAACUCAAAGGAAUUGACGGGGGCCCGCACAAGCGGUGGAGCAUGUGGUUUAAUUCGAAGCUACGCGAAGAACCUUACCAGGUCUUGACAUACUAUGCAAAUCUAAAAGAUUAGACGUUCCCUUCGGGGACAUGGAUACAGGUGGUGCAUGGUUGUCGUCAGCUCGUGUCGUGAGAUGUUGGGUUAAGUCCCGCAACGAGCGCAACCCUUAUUAUCAGUUGCCAGCAUUAAGUUGGGCACUCUGGUGAGACUGCCGGUGACAAACCGGAGGAAGGUGGGGAUGACGUCAAAUCAUCAUGCCCCUUAUGACCUGGGCUACACACGUGCUACAAUGGAUGGUACAACGAGUUGCGAACUCGCGAGAGUAAGCUAAUCUCUUAAAGCCAUUCUCAGUUCGGAUUGUAGGCUGCAACUCGCCUACAUGAAGUCGGAAUCGCUAGUAAUCGCGGAUCAGCAUGCCGCGGUGAAUACGUUCCCGGGCCUUGUACACACCGCCCGUCACACCAUGAGAGUUUGUAACACCCAAAGUCGGUGGGGUAACCUUUUAGGAACCAGCCGCCUAAGGUGGGACAGAUGAUUAGGGUGAAGUCGUAACACGU
rnacentral:rRNA from 2 species